rnacentral:rRNA from 1 species
AACGAACGCUGGCGGCAGGCUUAACACAUGCAAGUCGAGCGAAGACUUCGGUCUUAGCGGCGGACGGGUGAGUAACACGUGAGCAAUCUGCCCUUCUCUUUGGAAUAACCAUUGGAAACGAUGGCUAAUGCCGAAUAUGAACCCCUUUCGCAUGUUGGGGGUUGGAAAGCUCCGGCGGAGAAGGAUGAGCUCGCGGCCUAUCAGCUUGUUGGUGAGGUAAUGGCUCACCAAGGCAUUGACGGGUAGCCGGCCUGAGAGGGUGACCGGCCACACUGGGACUGAGACACGGCCCAGACUCCUACGGGAGGCAGCAGUGGGGAAUAUUGGACAAUGGGCGAAAGCCUGAUCCAGCAACGCCGCGUGAGGGAUGACGGCCUUCGGGUUGUAAACCUCUUUCAGCAGGGACGAAGCGAAAGUGACGGUACCUGCAGAAGAAGGACCGGCCAACUACGUGCCAGCCGCCGCAGUAAAAC